rnacentral:rRNA from 1 species
GACGAACGCUGGCGGCGUGCCUAAUACAUGCAAGUCGAACGCACUCUCGUUUAGAUUGAAGGAGUUUGCUCCUGAUUGAUAAACAUUUGAGUGAGUGGCGGACGGGUGAGUAACACGUGGGUAACCUGCCCUAAAGUGGGGGAUAACAUUUGGAAACAGAUGCUAAUACCGCAUAAAACCUAACACCGCAUGGUGUAGUGUUGAAAGAUGGUUUCGGCUAUCACUUUAGGCUGGACCCGCGGUGCAUUAGUUAGUUGGUGAGGUAAAGGCUCACCAAGACCGUGAUGCAUAGCCGACCUGAGAGGGUAAUCGGCCACACUGGGACUGAGACACGGCCCAGACUCCUACGGGAGGCAGCAGUAGGGAAUCUUCCACAAUGGACGAAAGUCUGAUGGAGCAACGCCGCGUGAGUGAAGAAGGUUUUCGGAUCGUAAAACUCUGUUGUUGGAGAAGAAUGUAUCUGAUAGUAACUGAUCAGGUAGUGACGGUAUCCAACCAGAAAGCCACGGCUAACUACGUG